rnacentral:rRNA from 1 species
AGAGUUUGAUUCUGGCUCAGGAUGAACGCUGGCGGCGUGCUUAACACAUGCAAGUCGAACGGAACUUACGUGAAACUUUCGUCGAUCGUAAGUUUAGUGGCGGACGGGUGAGUAACGCGUGGGUAACCUACCUCACACAGGGGGAUAACAGUUGGAAACGACUGCUAAAACCGCAUAACAUGGCGAUACCGCAUGACAUUGCCAUCAAAUAUUUAUAGGUGUGAGAUGGGCCCGCGUCUGAUUAGCUAGUUGGUGAGGUAAAGGCCCACCAAGGCGACGAUCAGUAGCCGGCUUGAGAGAGUGAACGGCCACAUUGGGACUGAGACACGGCCCAAACUCCUACGGGAGGCAGCAGUGGGGGAUAUUGGACAAUGGGGGAAACCCUGAUCCAGCGACGCCGCGUGAGUGAAGAAGUAUUUCGGUAUGUAAAGCUCUAUCAGCAGGGAAGAAAAGCGCAAGCAUUGACUGUACCUGACUAAGAAGCCCCGGCUAACUACGUGCCAGCCGCGGC